AACGAACGCUGGCGGCGUGCCUAACACAUGCAAGUCGAGCGCGAAAAGGGCAACCUGAGUAGAGCGGCGCACGGGUGCGUAACACGUGGGUAAUCUGCCUUAGAGUCGAGGAUAACCUUCCGAAAGGUUGGCUAAUACUCGGUAAGCUUACGGUGUCUUCGGACGCUGUGGGAAAAGUAGGCCUCUGUUUACAAGCUUACGCUCUGAUGUGAGCCCGCGGCCCAGCAGCUAGUUGGCGGUGUAACGGACCACCAAGGCAACGACGGGUAGCUGGUCUGAGAGGACGAUCAGCCACACUGGAACUGAGACACGGUCCAGACUCCUACGGGAGGCAGCAGUGGGGAAUUUUCCACAAUGGGCGAAAGCCUGAUGGAGCAACGCCGCGUGUGUGAUGAAGGUUUUCGGAUCGUAAAGCACUUUCGACUGGGACGAAAAACCUUUGGCUAACAUCCAGGGGCCUGACGGUACCAGGAGAAGAAGCACCGGCUAACUCUGUGCCAGCAGCCGCCGUAACAC
rnacentral:rRNA from 1 species